rnacentral:rRNA from 1 species
GUGUCAGCCGCCGCGGUAAUACAGAGGUCUCAAGCGUUGUUCGGAUUCAUUGGGCGUAAAGGGUGUGUAGGUGGCGCGCUAAGUCGGGUGUGAAAUUUCGGAGCUUAACUCCGAAACUGCAUUCGAUACUGGCGUGCUUGAGGACUGGAGAGGAGACUGGAAUUUACGGUGUAGCAGUGAAAUGCGUAGAUAUCGUAAGGAAGACCAGUGGCGAAGGCGGGUCUCUGGACAGUUCCUGACACUGAGACACGAAGGCCAGGGGAGCAAACGGGAUUAGAUACCCUCGUAGUCC